GUGUGAGUGAGAGCGGUGGUGGGGGGUGCGAGUGGCGCGGAGUUUUGAAUUGUUUGCUGUCCCUUUUUCACGGUUUUCCCUGGUUUCUCCGUCUGUUCUAUGUGCAUGAUCAGAACAGAACAAUCACCUCUGGCCUGAGGGUGCACCGCGUGGACCACCUCUUCUGCUGCAGUUUUUCCCCAGCUUAACUUCCUCCCUGACCACAUGGCUCAAGGUAACCCACAGUCCUCCUCACCUUUACCGUCAUGUCCAGUGAUGACCUGCAUCGGGCCUGCUCCAGUGAUCUAUUAAUACUGGGCUGGCUUAAGGGAAGUUCAGGUAUACGGCGUGUGGUUGGUUCCCUUCGGCAUGCGCCAGGAGAAGGGAACCAAUGGCGGGCCCUCCGUCUGUCCUGCGGUGUAUUAAGAGACAACCUGACCUGGGUCGGCGUGGUGCCGCGAGGGUCGCCGUGGGAGACGUCAGGAGCCGUCUGUGGGUGACGAUAUGCAGAUUGCUGGUGCAGUGAAGAGUAGAGCUGGAAGCGGUUGCUCAAACCGGCCUGGCUGUUCCACCCCCCUCUGCCUCCCGCCGCCCCCAACGCCGCUGCCUCUGCUAUGGAUUCUCAACAGCCCGUUUGUCGGUUGAGAAUCGUCGCUGCCGUUGGGCUCCUCAUUACAACAUGGUGGAGCCAUUCUGUGUCAUUUACAUAGAAGUGCUUUCCCAGCCAGUGGAGGUUAUUUGCUGCCAUGCCGUGACAGAAGGAGCUGUCUCGGACCCUCCAGAUGCGCUACUCAUCUGGGGAGAGGAGAGUUGAGGUACUGAAGACUUACCGCCGGACUGGAGUGUCCCAAAGUUUAAACAAUUCAGCCAUUUGGCCGGUGCUUCUUUAAGAUACACGUCAUCACUGAGCAGACCGUCGGCCCAGAUCCUCCCUCUGCUGCACGGCUU
ensembl:lncRNA